ACAAAUAAAAAAAAUCCAAUGUUAACGUUUAUGAAAAGAAUGAAAAUACAAAGAAGUACAUAACAUUUGAUCACUGAGGGGGUGGCUACUUGUCUUGUUGUUGCUGUGGUUGGUGCGAAUGACUCAACUACUGUGAUGGAGAAGAAGUGGAGGAGUUUGAAGGCAGUAACCUUUCAACAAUCACCUACAACAAGUGAUUAACAUUGCCCAUUGAUGUCAUUAAGUGAUUAAUGUUAAUAACUAAUUGAUGAUAGCCCUCGGGCUUAGGUGUAGAAUGCAAAAGAGGUCGUGCAAUCUUAACACCACAAGCGGACUCAAACGUCAUUGCUGGAGCUAGAACUGUAAAAGCGAGGACUCUGAUGCUAUAUUCAUAAACGUGGGUUCGAGUAGUUUUCAGCCCUCCAACUGUUGUUUCCCAUGCUGCAAGAUUAAACUUCGAUUGGGAUGAUAUCUCAUCACCAUACUUUUGCGAUAAAGCCACAGCGUAUGAUUCUUACAAAUAGAAAAGUAAUUAAAAUUAUUAUGGUAUUUAAUUGGUAAGCAACAUAUAUAUCGAAUAUAAACACACAUAUUAUCACUUAAUUUGACAGCUUUGGACUUGUUGUCUACAAAUUCACUGGUAACCUUCUGCCUGCUUGUGAUUACAUUUAAAGAACUUAGAGAACGUCACUUGUCUCUGCAUGGACUCAGACUAUAAUCACAGAAGACAAUAAGAAUAAAAACCACAUCAUUGCAUGAUAACGCAAUCAUUAACAACACAAAGAACAACAAGUAAAGUGAAUCAUUUUUGUAGUACUACAAUAAAAACAUGUACGAUUCUCUUUUGGUGUAGUGCAAAAGGUAAAGAACUGCUUGUAUGUUUUGAUACACCAUCGUCCUUCUUUGUCAAGCAAUUCUGUUGGGCCUUGUGUGUGCGUGCCUCCCACUCAAGCAUGGACCAUAUAACCGGUGCCAUACCUCUAUAAUGAUCCAAGGUCACGACUUACCUUUCAUAAAUAAGUUGUCGACUCUAGAGCCACCUGCAUCCCUUUUGACCUUCUCACUCUCAUCCCCUAAUAGACCCUUUACAAAUCUUCUCCCAUAUUUUACAAACCUCUGUUGCAUCUACAACAUCCCAUGUUGUGACAAAUGAGAUUCGUAUCCCAAUAUGGUAACUCUCAAAAUAUGAUUUUUUAGCCUAAUUAUGGAUUUGAUCGAAACUCGGUAGCUUUUAAUGGCCAACCUUUGUCCCACACAUGAUAUUUGGAAUUGACUCUAAUCAUUCCAAGAUCUUAGCACCAAAUAAUCGUGGAAUAAGGGUUCCCAUUCUACAUGUUUUUUAAAUUUAUCUCUUUGGCGAUGAAAAAGGAUGAUUCAUUGGCAAAAAUUCCCGAUGACAAUAAAAAAUUAAACAAAGCCUCUUCUUGUACUCCAAGGUGAAACUCUUUCCAUGUUCCAUGCAAUAUGGACAUGAUAAAUGUCCAUGAGUACUCCACCCAAAUAAUAUACCAUAUGUAGGGAAGUCAUUAAUGGUCCAUAGGAAUUCUGCUCGUAGAAUAAAAUUUUGGUGAGUAAAGGCAUCGUACGUGACCACACCUUCAUCCCACAAAACCUUAACUCAUUUAUCAAAGGUUGGAGGAAAAAAUCAAUGUUCUAUCCAGGACUUGUCCUCCCCAGAAUGACCAUUAUAAGAAAGAUGUAUAAUUGCUUCAUGCACAUCCACGGAGUUAAGUUAUAGAUAGUGAGCAUUAUCGGCCAACAAAAUACGAUUUCGCUAUCGACUCGAAUGAAUUGAAACCAUUUGAACAUAAAUUGAGUCUAACGCUACGAGGUUCAAUAACAAAAAACUAAUGGGUGCGAUUAAAGUGUUGCUAAGCUUCACCAUUAAUAGGAUGCCUAAGCAUUCCAUCAUUGGAUUGGUGAGUGGCAUGCCAUGUCAUGUCUUUUGCUGGUUUUUCUAACAUAUAUAGUCUUUGCAAUCUCAGUAUGAGUAGAAAGUAUCGUAAAAUCUUAUAAGGAAUUUUGUUCUCCCUUCUUCCCGUUGAUAUUCGGUUUAUACAAAGAAUGACCACAAUAUGGACAAUAAAACAACUUCGAAUAUUCAUUAUAAAACAACAUGCAAUUAUUCUUACAUGCAUGAAUUUUUUGAUAAUCAAGCCUACCUUCCAUUAGUUAUGUUUUCAUCUUAUAGAAGUUUUUUGGUAAUGAUUCAUCAAAUGGAAACAUCUCUUUCACUAGAUGCAUCAAAUGAUUAAAGCAUGCCUCGCUCAUAUUAAACUUUGACUUCACAUUCAGUAAUUGGAACAUAGCUGACAGUUUUGUGUACUUAUUGCAUCCGAACCAUAAAGUUGCAUCAACAUCAUUUAACACUGAAAAGAAUGAUGUAGCAUUCAGAUUUAGAUCUUCAGGAAAGAUUGGUUCAUUUCGAAUCUCUUCAUUGAACUGAAACUCCGGUCGUAAAGCAUUCAUAACUAUUUUAGCAUAUGGAUUUUCUACUUUGACUUCAUUAACUACUUCAUUUUGCUCAUCAACAAAAUUUCUUGAUUGUCCAGCAAAUAGUGAUGCACCAUGUGCAUCCCAUAUUGUAUACGCACCGGUAAAACCUUUUCGAAAUGGGUGUUUUUGAACCUUAUUAGUAAGCAAAAACUUGCUAUUCAUACACCGAGAGCAAAGACAUCUAAUUUUAUUAUUAGUCACAUAUCUUGGUUGACUGAAUGCAAAUGAAUUAAAUUCAUCUACGCCAUUCACAAAAUUUGUCGUUGAAAAUCCACUUGAAUAUACUUGAGAACAUAUCAAACUCCUAUCUCUUUCCAUUUGGGGAAAAAAAUAUUGUAACAAAUAUAUGAUGUUGACUGUUAAAAGAUGUUAACCCAAACAUAAACAAAAAAUAAUUAAUACAAUUAUUAAGAAUUUAUUCAUCUUCCAAAGAAAGUUUAUUUUUAUGUUUUUUCCUUUAGUGUAAUACUUGCAGUAUACAUAAUUAGCAAAGUGAUACAUAAUUUUUAAAUAAAUUACUUAAAAAUUAAAUAUUAAUUUUAGUUAAUUAAUAAAAUUAGUUGAUUUUUAAAUUUCCAAAAUUAUGUAUUUAAUUAAAUUACAUAAUAAAUCCUAUAUAUUUAACAAAAAUUCAAAAAUUACGUAUUUAAUUAAAUUACAUAAUAACUCUUAAUUUAUUUAAUUGCUUUUUAAAUUUUUAAAUGUUACUUAUUUAAUUAAGUACAUCCCUAAUAAAUUAUUGAUUUUAUUUAAUUAAUAAAUUUAUUUAAGUAAUUAGUAAUAAAAUAUAAUUUAAUUUAAACAAUCAAAUUAUUUCAUGCUAAAUAGUAAUUAGUAAAUUAAUUAAUUUACUUAGUUACUUAAUUAAUUACAAUCCUAAAGAAUUAUUUAUUUUAUUUAGUGUUUAUUUUCCCUGAUUUUUUUAACUUAUCUAUCUUUUAAAAGAACAAGCCAAGCCAAAUAGGGAUUUUGAGAAAUUUUUAAAAAACAAGGUAACUUAUUUUUAAAGAACAAAAUUAAAAAAAAAAAGAGCUUAAAGAAAAACUCCAAAAAAAAGUUUUCCCUUAUCUUCUUUUAAAAACAUGUCAGCUUUUUAAGAAAUACCCUUUCUCUCAAUUUAUCUCCUUCUCCUCUCCCUUCUUCUACAAUUCACCUUUUCUCCAACACAAAUCACGAUCUCUCUCUCUCUUUCUACAAAGAUUACUAGAAAAAAAAGGAAAAAGAAAAUCUAAGUAACAGAAUAGCAAAAGUUGAGGUUUUUUUGUUCUUACAAAGAUUAAGAAAAAGAAGAUCCAAAAUUCAAAGCUACAUUAAGGUAUUAUUUAAAGGUUUUCUUUUUUCUUUACAAAAAAAAGAUUUUAAUGUCAAAUACAUCAUUUUUUUUCUUUUCUUUCUUAGGGAAUUGAAGCAUUAUGAUCCAAUUGCUUACUAGAUUAAUAAAAACCUAAUACUAUUAUUGCUCUAAAAAGUUUGAAAGUUAUUCCGUUUCUGUAUGGAUUUCUUUAAUUUUAACAUCUGAAAAUAAUAUAUAAGCUCGAAGCAGACUUAUUCCAUUUUAGAUUAUUAAGUGAUUGAAGAUAACAUGAAUAUAUUUUAUGGUAAUUUUAACUAAAAUUAAAGCUUAUUUAAUUUAUUUUGCCAAAUAGCUUACCAAAUAGUUUUAAUUUAAUUUUAAACUAUUAUUUUUCAUAAGAGUUUCAUAAUAGCUUUUAAGUUAAAAAAAAAAUUAGACCAAACAGGCUUUUAAUCCAUAAUCUAUUUAAUUAAUUAGUAACAAAAGAAAAUUAAUGGCUUUCAUAGGUGCUUCACUUGGAUUAUCAUAAAAUUACCCAUUUGUCCAUGUUAUGAUUUUAAACUAAAAUUGCUCAUUAUCCUAAAAUUUACUUAUAAAACAAAAUUGCUCAUUCAUCUUCACGUAAAAUCCCUAUGCAGAAACUCAUUUUAACAAUUAUCAUAGGCCGAAACUUUAACAACUUUAACAAUUUCAAGUGUAGGCAGAAACUCAAUUAUCAUCCAUAAUUAUCAUUCCUUGAAACAUAAGUAGAAACUCAAUCAUAAGCAGAAAAUCGUCCUCAACUCAAUAGGCAAAAAUGAACAGCUUCAACAGGCAAAAGUCAUGAAACCAUAAACCAGUGUUGGAAAUUCCAUGAAAAUAAUUGCAAAAAUCAAAAAUUAUAAACAGGCAACAUGAAACUAGUGUCCAAUUAAGCUAAAAUCUAAAGCAAAAUUGCCUUAAAAUUACCUUAAAAUUUAACCCUCAACUUAGUAACUCCAACAAGGCAACCGAAUAGGAAAACUCAACAAGCAAAAAAUCUUUUUCAUGCCAACUAAAUGGGAAAACUAAAACAAAAUCUUACCUAGAUUGUUGGAGCAAAUCAAAGGAGAAACAAAUUGGAGGAAAGAUGUCCACCUAGCCCGAAUGGGAGAAGCAAAUCGAAGGAGAGAUGUCGUCGCUCAGGGUAGGUUGAAGGUAACUAAUGUUGAGGACUUUUUAAUUGGAGGGAAUGGUGGCCAGUUGGCG
rnacentral:lncRNA from 1 species